rnacentral:lncRNA from 1 species
GUGUGGCGUCUUUCCGAACUCCUCCGACCGUCCGAGCUUCCUUAAUACCAUCCAAACUUCUCCAAUAAUGGGCUCCUCCAUUCAUCUACUGGACUGCUUCAAAUGCUCUCUGAGCUUUACUAUCAGCUGAUUUUCUACAAUGAUCGACUAUUCUCCGAAUCUCAGCCUAGACUUCUUCCGACCACGAACGACUUUACUUCGAACUUCUUUCGAGCUUC